GGACCGAACCGACUAAUGUUGAAAAAUUAGCGGAUGACCUGUGGCUGGGGGUGAAAGGCCAAUCAAACCGGGAGAUAGCUGGUUCUCCCCGAAAGCUAUUUAGGUAGCGCCUCGUGAAUUCAUCUCCGGGGGUAGAGCACUGUUUCGGCUAGGGGGCCAUCCCGGCUUACCAACCCGAUGCAAACUGCGAAUACCGGAGAAUGUUAUCACGGGAGACACACGGCGGGUGCUAACGUCCGUCGUGAAGAGGGAAACAACCCAGACCGCCAGCUAAGGUCCCAAAGUCAUGGUUAAGUGGGAAACGAUGUGGGAAGGCCCAGACAGCCAGGAUGUUGGCUUAGAAGCAGCCAUCAUUUAAAGAAAGCGUAAUAGCUCACUGGUCGAGUCGGCCUGCGCGGAAGAUGUAACGGGGCUAAACCAUGCACCGAAGCUGCGGCAGCGACACUGUGUGUUGUUGGGUAGGGGAGCGUUCUGUAAGCCUGUGAAGGUGUGUCGUGAGGC
rnacentral:rRNA from 2 species